rnacentral:rRNA from 1 species
AGCGAACGCUGGCGGCAGGCUUAACACAUGCAAGUCGAGCGGGCACCUUCGGGUGUCAGCGGCAGACGGGUGAGUAACACGUGGGAACGUACCCUUCGGUUCGGAAUAACGCUGGGAAACUAGCGCUAAUACCGGAUACGCCCUUAUGGGGAAAGGUUUACUGCCGAAGGAUCGGCCCGCGUCGGAUUAGCUAGUUGUUGGGGUAACGGCCUACCAAGGCGACGAUCAGUAGCUGGUCUGAGAGGAUGAUCAGCCACACUGGGACUGAGACACGGCCCAGACUCCUACGGGAGGCAGCAGUGGGGAAUAUUGGACAAUGGGCGCAAGCCUGAUCCCGCCAUGCCGCGUGAGUGAUGAAGGCCUUAGGGUUGUAAAGCUCUUUUGUCCGGGACGAUAAUGACGGUACCGGAAGAAUAAGCCCCGGCUAACUUCGUG